rnacentral:rRNA from 1 species
AUUGAACGCUCGUGGGAUGCUUUACACAUGCAAGUCGAACGGCAGCGCGGACUUCGGUCUGGCGGCGAGUGGCGAACGGGUGAGUAAUGUAUCGGAACGUGCCCAGUAGCGGGGGAUAACUACGCGAAAGCGUAGCUAAUACCGCAUACGCCCUACGGGGGAAAGCAGGGGAUCGUAAGACCUUGCACUAUUGGAGCGGCCGAUAUCGGAUUAGCUAGUUGGUGAGGUAACGGCUCACCAAGGCGACGAUCCGUAGCUGGUUUGAGAGGACGACCAGCCACACUGGGACUGAGACACGGCCCAGACUCCUACGGGAGGCAGCAGUGGGGAAUUUUGGACAAUGGGGGCAACCCUGAUCCAGCCAUCCCGCGUGUGCGAUGAAGGCCUUCGGGUUGUAAAGCACUUUUGGCAGGAAAGAAACGUCGCGGGCUAAUACCCCGUGGAACUGACGGUACCUGCAGAAUAAGCACCGGCUAACUACGUG